rnacentral:rRNA from 1 species
CCUGACGCAGCGACGCCGCGUGAAGGAUGAAGGCCUUCGGGUCGUAAACUUCUGUCGAGAGGGAAGAAUGCGUGCGGGUGAAUAGCCCGCACGUUUGACGGUACCUCCAAAGGAAGCACCGGCUAACUCCGUGCCAGCAGCCGCGGUAAUACGGAGGGUGCAAGCGUUGUUCGGAUUUAUUGGGCGUAAAGCGAGUGUAGGCGGUUUAGCAAGUCGAUGUGAAAUCCCAGGGCCCAACCCUGGAACUGCAUCCGAUACUGCUAGGCUAGAGUCCCGGAGAGGGUGGCGGAAUUCCCGGUGUAGGGGUGAAAUCCGUAGAUAUCGGGAGGAACACCCAGUGGCGAAGGCGGCCACCUGGACGGUGACUGACGCUGAGACUCGAAAGCGUGGGUAGCAAACAGGAUUAGAUACCCUGGUAGUCCACGCCGUAAACGGUGAGAGCUCGUCGUUAGUGGGUAUUGACCCCUGCUGUGACAAGUUAACGCAUGAAGCUCUCCGCCUGGGAAGUACGGUCGCAAGACUAAAACUCAAAGGAAUUGACGGGG